AUUUAAAUAGUUUAAGUAAAAUAUUGAUUUGUGGAGUCAAAGUUAUAGAUUAUAUUUUAAAUA
rnacentral:tRNA from 1 species